UCCUGGUUAUCCCAGGCGGUUUCGCUAGAGUGCCCGGCUUGACCCGCUGGCAACUAACGAUAAGGGUUGCGCUCGUUGCGGGACUUAACCCAACAUCUCACGACACGAGCUGACGACAGCCAUGCAGCACCUCCACAGCAGUUCUUGCGAAAAGGGAUGUUUCCACCCCGGUCCACUGUGCUUCGAGCCCAGGUAAGGUUCUUCGCGUUGCGUCGAAUUGAACCACAUGCUCCACCGCUUGUGCGGGCCCCCGUCAAUUCCUUUGAGUUUCAUUCUUGCGAACGUACUCCCCAGGUGGGAUACUUAUCACUUUCGCUUAGCCACUGAGUUUGCACCCAACAGCUAGUAUCCAUCGUUUACGGCGUGGACUAC
rnacentral:misc_RNA from 1 species